UCGAUAAAAUGUAAUGUUGAAAAGAUAAUGAAGCAACCAAUAAACCCAGAUAGAGACAACAUAGCCAUACAAGAGACCCCAGAAGAAAAAGAAAAAUAUGCUGCCCUACCGUUCCACCUAAGUAGGAUGCCCAUUGUAAAGAAAAUAGCAAAAACAUCACAAACAAAAUUAGCUCCUAAAAGAGGUCCUACAGUUUUCUCCUACCUAAGGAAUGACAAAGACCACCUAGACGACAGGAAUAAAUCGGACAUAUACACCAUUCCAAUAUACGAUAAGAAAAAGACCCUGAAUAAGGAAUAUAUAAGAGCCACAACACUCC
rnacentral:lncRNA from 1 species